GCCAAAAGCCUAAAACCCUAAAAUUUCCUUCUGCCCAAAACUGAAACCCGAUUAAAAAAACACUCCCCUUUCAACGCAAACACAGUAGCACAUGCUCAUCAAACUCCCUCACUUCUUCUUCAUGCAGUCCCAUCUCUUUCUUCAAACACACAAUUUCCUCCAUGCCUCUCUCUACAUACAUAUUCCCCUGCCUCCGGUCUUUUUCCCUUCUCUACCUUCAUUCCAAGCUUUCUUCUGUCACUCAAACCAAUAUCCUUUGUGAAGAAAGGCCAGCCCAUCAACAUGAAUCGAUACCCUUCGUUGAAAAUCUGUAUCCUCUCCAGCUACUACUUGAAAUGGCCGGAAUGCUUCAACGGUUGCAGAUGCGGCAAUGAAUGUAAGGUCCAAGUCUAUCCACCUCUCGACCCAACUGAUUGAGAAAGAGUUCGUCAGCUUAAUCUACUGUUGUUAAUUAAUAUGGGAUUCUUUUAUAAGAGACACAAGAGGUAUAUUAUAAUAUAUAUAUAUAUAUAUAUAUAUAUCUGUUGAUGGUUAAAUACAAGUACAUUUCAAGUACAAGGAGGGCAGAAAGCCAGGUUCAUGAUUAUGCAUUCAAUGUACGAAUACUUUCAAUUUUAUUAAUCUAUACAGGUAGGGAUCCAAGAUGAUGUAAUAUUCUCUUCUUAAUCAGCUUUGUAUAGACAAACACAAAGAAAAUUGGAAAGUCAAGAUCAGAAUAUCAAGGAUGUGGAAUGCAAUCAACUCAAAAAAUAAUGAUAUUAUUAGUUUAAA